GGUCCACCAGAGGUUGCCGAGUACCUACUGCCGCCCAGCGCUAAGAAAAGAGCAAAAAAUAAAAGCAAAACAAUAAAGAAAACAAGAGAGGAAGGGAAAUAGAAAGUCAGCUCAAGGGGACUCCAGAGCGUGGGGAGCAGAGGCGCCGCGCCAUAGCGGACUCGCCGAGCGCGGGCGGGCGGGCAGACUUGGAGCUCUGCUGGCUGCAGUGCACAGACGUGCUGCUGUGGCCGUGAACUGACAUAAGGACACCAAAGGGCGGCUUGGGUGACACGUCUGCCGGCAGGUCUGCUUGCGCUAAGCGUUUAUCUCCAUGCCCAGGCUCCCUUCCUGCCUCUGCGCUCCCAAUAGCUCUCCGUGGACAGUUCCACCCAUGCCGGAUCCCUGGGCUCACAGUCAGGGACUAUGGCAUGGUCGAGCUUCCCCUGGACGAGCUCCGUGGGUCAGAGAGGGCUCCAGGACGCAGACAGGCAGGGAGCACAAAAGAGAAGAAGGGAAGAAGGGCCCGAGGCGCACGGAGACAGAGGGUGUGUGCUCCGCUCCGAGUCAGUAAUUCGGGAGCAUUUUCGACACCAGAGCGCUAUGCCAGGCGAGCUUCAUUGACUCCCUAGGGGCUUGGGGAGCAGAGCAUAGGAUUAGUUGCCGUAGAAGGAGCUCCUCCAAUGAGAUCCUGUCUGCUUUCUGAUUUGGCGGCCCUUCCGAGAAACAUGACAUCCUUUCCUCCUGGCUCUCGGCUGCUUCUCUCCAUGUCAACCCCCAAAGCCCAACUCUCCACCUGCAAUUUCUACAGCAGAACCUCGACCAUCACCAUCACCCCUGUGUCCCAUCCUGAGUACCCAUGGGCUACAAAGGUGCCACUGUGGAAUAAAUGAAGCGUUGCUUGUUGA